AAACAGUCCACACAAACUGCUGGAGGAACUCAGCAGGCCGGGCAGCAUCUAUGGAAAAGAGUAAACAGUCAACGUUUCAGGCCGAGACCCUUCACCAAUAAAUUGUUUCCUGAAUCACUGCGUGAUGUGUAGCAGUACAACCAGUGUGUACACAACACAUUCCUGUAAAACUGGUGUUGGCUUGACGUGAACGAAGGCCUUUUCCACGUGCGCUGCAUUGGUGCAGAGAGAAGCAUGUCACACAGGAGUCGUUUCUUUGGAGCCCGGACGCCACUGGAAGUGGAGCUGAUGGUGAAACAGCUGAAGGAUUUAGACAGAGAAAUCUUCAGAAAAAUACUUAAAACGGUCGUGAACUCACUAGAAGGAAAGGAUUGCAAAGAGUCUGUGAGGAGCAUUGCCGAGACGGAGACUCUUUCAGAAGAGCAGCUGAGUCACAUCCUGGCAGGCAUGUACACACUGAUACAAGAAGCUGUGCGUUUGCCACCGUCUUCCCUCAAGCAAGAGGUUUUUAAAGAUGAUUUAAGAGAAAUAAGGAUUCCAGAGGAGCUUAUUUCUGAUUUUGCAAGUGUUGUGUUUGGGAACAGACGAGCAGUGUUGGAGGCUGCAGCCCUGCAACAAGGGAAUCGUUUGCCAAGUGUUCAGGAUUUCAGAUGGCGAGUUGAUGUGGCCAUUUCUUCCAGUUCUUUGACCCGUGCUCUGCAGCCGGCUAUAUUGAUGCAGUUAAAGCUGUCAGACGGGACCGCUCAUCGCUUUGAAUAUGGGAGGAAACUGGAGCAACUGGAGGAAACCCACGCAGUCACGGGGAGAACAUACAAACGCCUUACAGACAGCAGCAGGAAUACAUCCCAGGUUGCUGGCAUUGUAAUGGUGUUAAGAUAACCGCUAUGUUACCGUGCUCCUUGUAGUGGCAAAAGGAACUGCUAACAUUCCAGGUUGAAACCCUGAUGUCAGGUCCCUGUUGCCAAGUUCCAGGAGUUACGGUACAACGUCGCCCUAAUCUUGAAAGAAAUAAAUGAUUUGGAAAAAAGAAGCAUCCUCAAAAUUCAAGAUUAAUAUAUUUCAAAUACUUGAUAUAUUUAAAGAAAACAAACUGGCAUAACAUAAAUUUGCCAAUUGUCAUCUACAGGAGAUAAUUUAGCUUUGAUGAGCCUUCCUAGCCAGGGAACUUGCACGUUAUUUUUAGUAUGUGUGCAGAGCAUCCAAGUCAUGACUUGUGAUUUGAGAUCGCUGAUGUAUUACAGACUUGAAUUGGUUCCUGGUAUUCAACUGUGUUGAAAUGCCAGGUCUUACAAAACAAACCAGCAUGUCAAUCAAUAGUGUUGCAUCUGAUUUGGAUAAGUCAACUCAAGCCGCAGUGUCAGUGUGUAUAAAAUGGUAAAAUGCACCAGCAGAAGCCAAGGUAUGGUGAGAGAGAUAAAAAGGGAUAACUAUGCAAUCAAGUACUGGUCAAAGCAGGAAAAUGAUGGAUUGUAAAUCAUGUCACUAUGUGAAUAGCAUAACACUUGUAUUCAUAUCACUAAUCUGAUGUAACUUUUUUCUGUGCAAUCACAUUUCACUUGAUGUAUUGUAAAAGAUCGUGUCAUACUUUGUACGCAAUAUGUAAUAAAAGCCCAUAGAAAACUUGCAUAACUUGUCAAAGAAGCUUUAUUGUACCUUUCCAUUUUUAUUGGUAGUGUUUACAAUGCUUUACAGUACCAGUGAUUUGGGUUCAAUUACCACUGUCUGGGAGGAGUUCGUACAUUCUUCCUGUUUCCUCCAGGUGCUCUGG